CACGCAUGAGGAAUCGCAGCGGCCAAGCCAAAGGGCCAGACCUUACACUUAGUAGACUACCGGUAAGUAACCCACACUGUGCAACGGACAGUACUUAUAUGAUAAUAAAAAAUAAUUAAUAAAAUAUAAUAAUAAUAGUAAAUUAAUUUUUUUGGUAACAUAAUUUUUUCUCUGAAAAAUUAUCUUGGUCACUCGAGGAAG
rnacentral:lncRNA from 1 species